GUGCUCGCUUCGGCAGCAUAUAUACUAAAAUUGGAACAAUACAGAGAAGAUUAGCAGGGACCCUGAGCAAGGAUGACAUGCAAAUUCGUGAAGCAGUCUAUAUUAAA